rnacentral:pre_miRNA from 1 species
UCAUGAUGAUGAUGGUCAUGAUGGUGAUGAUCGUGGUGAUCAUGAUGAUGGUGGUCAUGAUGGUCGUGAUGAUGGUCAUCAUGGUGAUCAUGAUGA